rnacentral:sRNA from 3 species
ACAUCUGCAAAAUCAGAUGUCGGGAUUCGCAUCUCGCCGUAACUAAACAGGCGCAUAGCACGCCGACAGCGUGUUUUUU